rnacentral:rRNA from 1 species
AAACUUUCAACAACGGAUCUCUUGGUUCCGGCAUCGAUGAAGAACGCAGCGAACUGCG